rnacentral:rRNA from 1 species
UUCGUCCUACGGGAGGCAGCAGUGGGGAAUAUUGGGCAAUGGGCGCAAGCCUGACCCAGCAACGCCGCGUGAAGGAAGAAGGCUUUCGGGUUGUAAACUUCUUUUAUGAGGGACGAAACAAAUGACGGUACCUCAUGAAUAAGCCACGGCUAACUACGUGCCAGCAGCCGCGGUAAUACGUAGGUGGCAAGCGUUAUCCGGAUUUACUGGGUGUAAAGGGCGUGUAGGCGGGACUGCAAGUCAGAUGUGAAAUCCUGCGGCUUAACCGCAGAACUGCAUUUGAAACUGUUGAUCUU